GCUUGUGGCCAUACCACCAUGAGCACAUCUGAUCUUGUCUUAUCUCAUAAGCUAGGCAGGGUCAGGCCUAGUUAGUAUUGGGAUGGAAGACCGCGUGGGAAUACCAGGUGCUGUAAGCU
rnacentral:rRNA from 1 species